AGUUUGAUCCUGGCUCAGAGCGAACGCUGGCGGCAGGCCUAACACAUGCAAGUCGAACGGACCCUUCGGGGUUAGUGGCGGACGGGUGAGUAACACGUGGGAACGUGCCUUUAGGUUCGGAAUAGCUCCUGGAAACGGGUGGUAAUGCCGAAUGUGCCCUUCGGGGGAAAGAUUUAUCGCCUUUAGAGCGGCCCGCGUCUGAUUAGCUAGUUGGUGAGGUAACGGCUCACCAAGGCGACGAUCAGUAGCUGGUCUGAGAGGAUGACCAGCCACACUGGGACUGAGACACGGCCCAGACUCCUACGGGAGGCAGCAGUGGGGAAUCUUGCGCAAUGGGCGAAAGCCUGACGCAGCCGUGCCGCGUGAAUGAUGAAGGUCUUAGGAUUGUAAAAUUCUUUCACCGGGGACGAUAAUGACGGUACCCGGAGAAGAAGCCCCGGCUAACUUCGUGCCAGCAGCCGCGGUAAUACGAAGGGGGCUAGCGUUGCUCGGAAUUACUGGGCGUAAAGGGCGCGUAGGCGGAUCGUUAAGUCAGAGGUGAAAUCCCAGGGCUCAACCCUGGAACUGCCUUUGAUACUGGCGAUCUUGAGUGC
rnacentral:rRNA from 1 species